rnacentral:lncRNA from 10 species
GUGUCUCGCUUUGUUGCCCAGGCUGGUCUUGAAUUCCUGGACUGAAACAAUUCUCCUGCUUUGUAUUCCCAAAGUGCUGGGAUUACAGGAGUGAGCCACCACAUCCAGCCAAUCUAAUUAUUUUUCAAUACUUGAAUUUGAAGGAGAAAAGGCAAGGUGCAAGAAGCCAUUUAUUCAACAAAUGGAGUCUUCCAAAUGGAAGAAAAAACUGGAUCCAUUCCUUACACCACAAACCACAAACCAGGAUAAAUUCCAAAUGAAUUAGAGACUUCAAUGUAAAAAUAGAAAUCAUUUUUUAAAAAUAAACUCUUUCCUACUUGGGAGGCUGAUGCAGGAGGAUACCUAGAACUCAGGAGUUCAAGGCUGCAGUGAGCCAUGAUCAUGCCACUAUACCCCAACCUGGGCACUAGAGUAAGACAGAAGAAGAAGAAAAGAAGAAAGGAAGAAAAGAAGAAGAAGAAAAGAAAAAGAAGAAAAGAAGAAGAAGAAG